CCUACGGGGGGCAGCAGUCGAGGAUCAUUCACAAUGGGGGAAACCCUGAUGGUGCGACGCCGCGUGGGGGAAUGAAGGUCUUCGGAUUGUAAACCCCUGUCAUGUGGGAGCAAAUGAAAAAGAUAGUACCACAAGAGGAAGAGACGGCUAACUCUGUCCCAGCAGCCGCGGGAAUACAGAGGUCUCAAGCGUUGUUCGGAAUCACUGGGCGUAAAGCGUGCGUAGGCUGUGUCGUAAGUCGGGUGUGAAAGGCGCGGGCUCAACCCGCGGACGGCACAUGAUACUGCGAGACUAGAGUAAUGGAGGGGGAACCGGAAUUCUCGGUGUAGCAGUGAAAUGCGUAGAUAUCGAGAGGAACACUCGUGGCGAAGGCGGGUUCCUGGACAUUAACUGACGCUGAGGCACGAAGGCCAGGGGAGCGAAAGGGAUUAGAUACCCUUGUAGUC
rnacentral:rRNA from 1 species